rnacentral:tRNA from 1 species
AUUUAAAUAGCUUAAAUAGAGCGUGACACUGAAGAUGUUAAGGUAGUAAUUUUACUUUUAAAUA